rnacentral:rRNA from 1 species
UACGUAGGGUGCGAGCGUUGUCCGGAAUUAUUGGGCGUAAAGAGCUCGUAGGCGGUGUGUCACGUCGGCCGUGAAAACCUGCAGCUUAACUGUGGGCGUGCGGUCGAUACGGGCAUCACUGGAGUUCGGCAGGGGAGACUGGAAUUCCUGGUGUAGCGGUGAAAUGCGCAGAUAUCAGGAGGAACACCGGUGGCGAAGGCGGGUCUCUGGGCCGAUACUGACGCUGAGGAGCGAAAGCGUAGGGAGCAAACAGG